rnacentral:rRNA from 1 species
ACGUAGGGCGCAAGCGUUGUCCGGAAUUAUUGGGCGUAAAGAGCUCGUAGGCGGCUUGUCACGUCGAUUGUGAAAGCCCGAGGCUUAACCUCGGGUCUGCAGUCGAUACGGGCUGGCUAGAGUGUGGUAGGGGAGAUCGGAAUUCCUGGUGUAGCGGUGACAUGCAUUGAUAUCAGGAGGAACACCCGAGGCGAAGGCGGUUCACUGGGCCUUAUCUGACGCUGAGGCGCGAAAGCGUGGGUAGCAAACAGGA